rnacentral:sRNA from 2 species
CACGCACCUAAGGGCCGCUCUGCAUAUAGAAAUAUUGGAGAAACGCGGGGGUGGAUGUUAAAAAUUGGGCUGCAUGUAAAGGAAGGAGGGAGGAAAUGAUCAAUAUCAGACUCUUUCCCUUAUUUAUGAUAUAUACUAACUAGUAUUUAGUAUGUCGAUCUGGGCUGCAUCUAGUGUAACUAACUACAGACUUAUAGUUGUAUGUCCUUGUUAAAGAGGUACAAACGGGGAACCCCUGAUCACCAGUAAAUAGUUAUAGGACACAGUAACACCCAUGAGGACACUCGCCGAUCGGGCCAGCCUUGAGGCAGGACGGAGCAGGAAAUGGCAAGAAAGGAUGUGACGAGCUGGGUUUAUGGACCCCACAAGUUCGGUU